GAGGAAAAGGUUCUUGCUACCUACAGUUGAUUACCAUACUGCAGGUGUUGUCAAUUUCAAAUUAAGCUUAAUUUCUUUUAAUAAUCAGCAUAUAAUUUUGAGGACCAGAUUCGUAUAUAACCUGUUAUCAAUUAAUGAUGCAAUAUGGGCUAACACUUUUGCUUGAUCAUGCUUCGUUCCACGAUAUCCAACUUGGUUGAGUUCUACAAAGAUGUUUGCUGGUCUAAAAAGAAGGGAAAGUCUGUGACAGAAGAAGCUGAAGAGAUUUAUAAAUCCAUGGUUGGAAAGUUCAAUGAUAUAGACCCAGAGUAGCGGACCACAUAUGCAGCAAGAUCUGUGUUUAGGGAGGUAUUAGGUGCACGAGCAGGGUAUGCUGGAGGAUUAGAGGAGAUGGUAAUACCGGAGACUACUCGGGUAAUUGAGCAUGAACGCGAUAAGCAAUACGUUGAAGUAGUGGGAAGACAUAAAAUGGAGGCUGAGCAUUACAAGGAAAAUAUGAUGAGUUGAGUGGGCAUGUGAGGGUACUUAUGGAGAGACAACUUGAGUUUGACAAAUUCAUGAAUACAUACCAGUUCGAGAGGCAGUCCCAAGGAGAGUCUCCUAGAGAGACUUAGGGAGCUGCCUAGGAACAUACUUUGAGAAGCCACUUCUUUGAAAAUUUUGCCUUUUUGAGAUGAGCAAGUAUAUGGCUAGCUGAGGUCUGCCACAUUACUAAAGUAUUUUGUUAGUGGCAAGGCGUGUUCACAUGCAGUGUAGUAAAUAUGUGUUACAACUGGGCUUUGUGGUAUUCUGAAGGAUAAUUCUGGCUCAUGAAGGAUCUCAGAGAGAUGCCAAAUUGGUUGGGGGGAUUCUCAGUGUAGAUGGAUAGAACAACACUAAAGGAUCAAUAUGGUAGUGAUUGGAGGGGAAAGUUCC